rnacentral:rRNA from 1 species
ACGAACGCUGGCGGCGUGCUUAACACAUGCAAGUCGAACGGAAAGGCCCUGCUUUUGUGGGGUGCUCGCGUGGCGAACGGGUGAGUAACACGUGAGUAACCUGCCCUUGACUUUGGGAUAACUUCAGGAAACUGGGGCUAAUACCGGAUAGGAGCUCCUGCUGCAUGGUGGGGGUUGGAAAGUUUCGGCGGUUGGGGAUGGACUCGCGGCUUAUCAGCUUGUUGGUGGGGUAGUGGCUUACCAAGGCUUUGACGGGUAGCCGGCCUGAGAGGGUGACCGGCCACAUUGGGACUGAGAUACGGCCCAGACUCCUACGGGAGGCAGCAGUGGGGAAUAUUGCACAAUGGGCGGAAGCCUGAUGCAGCAACGCCGCGUGCGGGAUGACGGCCUUCGGGUUGUAAACCGCUUUCGCCUGUGACGAAGCGUGAGUGACGGUAAUGGGUAAAGAAGCACCAGCUAACUACGUG